rnacentral:rRNA from 1 species
GCACAACGCGAAGAACCUUACCUAGGCUUGACAUGCAUCUCUAAGCGCGUGAAAGCGCGUGACCCUUCGGGGGAUUUGCACAGGUGCUGCAUGGCCGUCGUCAGCUCGUGUCGUGAGAUGUUGGGUUAAGUCCCGCAACGAGCGCAACCCUUGUGAACAGUUGCCAGCACUUAAGGUGGGAACUCUGUUCAGACUGCCCAGAUCAACUGGGAGGAAGGUGGGGACGACGUCAGGUCAGUAUGGCCCUUACGGCCUGGGCUACACACGUGCUACAAUGGUCGGUACAGAGGGUUGCCAAGCCGCGAGGUGGAGCUAAUCUCACAAAACCGAUCGUAGUCCGGAUCGCAGUCUGCAACUCGACUGCGUGAAGUCGGAAUCGCUAGUAAUCGCGAAUCAGAAUGUCGCGGUGAAUACGUUCCCGGGUCUUGUACACACCG